UGAGUAACACGUAUGCAAUCCACCUGUAACAGGGGGAUAACCCGGAGAAAUCCGGACUAAUACCCCAUAAUAUGGGCGCUCCGCAUGGAGAGUCCAUUAAAGAGAGCAAUCUUGGUUACAGACGAGCAUGCGCUCCAUUAGCCAGUUGGCGGGGUAACGGCCCACCAAGGCGACGAUACAUAGGGGGACUGAGAGGUUAACCCCCCACACUGGUACUGAGACACGGACCAG
rnacentral:rRNA from 1 species